AGAAUCCAAUUGAAGCAUGGAUGCUGUGGAAAAUGAAAAUUGGAAUCAAAUUACAUGCUAUGUUUGUGCAGAAAACAAAUUCUAUAUGGUGAUUUGAAAUUCCCUCAUCUGGUAAUGUCAUUUUGCAGCUCUUCUUAAGCUGUUUCUGAUCAGAAGCAUGAAAAUGUUUCCUAAACAGCUGAAGUCUUUCUUUUUUCAGUUGAUGCUAACCUUAUUAUUCUCUUAAUUCUGUUGUUAAUUCUUCAUCCAGUAUCCUGGUCUCCAUCGCUUUCAAAUCUAGGUCUGUCACCUACUGAAGGUGUUAACAUUAUUCUCUGAGAGAGUUUCACUUCAUGCUUGAGACCUUGGGCCUUUUUUUAUGUCCAUUUGAGCAGCUUGCAUUUCAG
rnacentral:misc_RNA from 1 species